UGAAUUGUCUUCUGAGGUGAAUUGUCUUGGGGAAUGCGGUCAGCAGGUGCGGCCCCGCCAGCAUGCAGUAGAGUGCGACUGGUGCAACCGAUGGCAGCAUCGCAAAUGUGGCACAUCAAAGAACGAUAGAAUUUGCUACUAUCGAACAACUGACAAAGACUCCAGCAGUCCAACAGCACUUUCCACGUCGAUCGCAAGCCGUUUUAUCAACUGCUGUUUGUACACGCUUUAAUUGCGACGUAAAGAUUCCUUGAAGCAGAUGUCCCUACUCUUCGUCAUGAUGUCACAAAAAGAAAGACCGACUUUGUUGCCGUAUUUCACCACAUUUUAAAUAUUUAGAUGUCUUCAAAAGGCACCAAGAACUUGUGCUACCAAGGAAACAGACUCGAGUGUUUCAAUAAGCUUUAGUCUGCCACUUCAAUUGAGUUAAAAAUAGGUCUUAAUUAAACAACAAGAAAAUAAA